rfam:Bombyx mori DNA, contig: Bm_scaf2_contig1713, strain: p50T/Dazao, build 2, whole genome shotgun sequence.
UUAACUUAAAUUUGUAUGGAGUUGGAACAUAUUCCCUUCGUUUGUCGCUAGGCGCACUGUUUCUACUCCAUACAAAUUUGAGUUA